CAGCCGCCGCGGGAAUACGUAGGUGCAAGCGUUAAUCGGAAUUACUGGGCGUAAAGCGUGCGCAGGCGGUUCUAUAAGACAGAUGUGAAAUCCCCGGGCUCAACCUGGGAACUGCAUUUGUGACUGUAGAGCUCGAGUACGGUAGAGGGGGAUGGAAUUCCGCGUGUAGCAGUGAAAUGCGUAGAUAUGCGGAGGAACACCGAUGGCGAAGGCAAUCCCCUGGACCUGUACUGACGCUCAUGCACGAAAGCGUGGGGAUCAAACAGGAUUAGAUACCCGAGUAGUCCCUGUCUCUUAUACA
rnacentral:rRNA from 1 species